rnacentral:lncRNA from 1 species
ACAUCUCUUGGAGUUCUAGCUCACCUUUCUAGUGUUGUUCUUGUACUCAUCUGUUUAAUCUAGUUCUGCCACUUCUUCUUGAACUUCUUGUUAGAUUUCAAGUCUGUAUUUUGUGUCCAUGACACUAACUAUGUGGCCCACAUGUAGAAAAACUUGCCUUGUAAGUCAAGACAUGUGCCCUAUAAAGUCAACACAUAUUGGAGGUCCUAUAGAACGUCGCCACGUAGCCCCUAGUUAGAGAGUAUAUAUAGAGACAAGAGUGAAGGCUUUUUCACUCUUGUCAACUCCUUUCUUGCUUCUAGUCUGUUUCAAGGGUCUCUAAUUUUCUUGUCUUUUGGCAAUAGCCAUUCCAGUUUCUCUUUCAAU